GACGAACGCUGGCGGCGUGCUUAACACAUGCAAGUCGAACGGAAAGGCCCUGCUUUUGUGGGGUGCUCGAGUGGCGAACGGGUGAGUAACACGUGAGUAACCUGCCCUUGACUUUGGGAUAACUUCAGGAAACUGGGGCUAAUACCGGAUAGGAGCUCCUGCUGCAUGGUGGGGGUUGGAAAGUUUCGGCGGUUGGGGAUGGACCCGCGGCUUAUCAGCUUGUUGGUGGGGUAGUGGCUUACCAAGGCUUUGACGGGUAGCCGGCCUGAGAGGGUGACCGGCCAAAUGGGGACGGGGAUGCGGCCCAAGCCCCUAGGGGGGGAAGGAGUGGGGAAUUUUGCAAAAUGGGGGGAAGCCUGAAGCAGCAACGCCGGGGGGGGGAUGACGGCUUUCGGGUUGUAAACCCCUUUCCCCUGUGACGAAGCGUGGGGGAGGGAAAUGGUUAAAAAAGCCCCGCUAACUUAGGG
rnacentral:rRNA from 1 species